rnacentral:rRNA from 1 species
UGAGUAACCUGCCCUGGACUUUGGGAUAACCCUCGGAAACGGGGGCUAAUACCGGAUAUGACGGCUCACCGCAUGGUGUGGUUGUGGAAAGUUUUUCGGUCUGGGAUGGGCUCGCGGCCUAUCAGCUUGUUGGUGGGGUGAUGGCCUACCAAGGCGACGACGGGUAGCCGGCCUGAGAGGGCGACCGGCCACACUGGGACUGAGACACGGCCCAGACUCCGUACGGGAGGCA